GGCAUAUACUCUUUAAUAUUCAAUUCAAUUCCAUUUUUAUUUAUAGAGUACAUUCCAUGCACAACGCAAACUCAUUGUGCCUUACAGUGGUUCAAACAGUUAAAAUAUAUAUAUAUAUAAACAGUAGUUUGAGGCCUGUCUUCUUAACAUGGCUAAGUGAAUGGGGAAGGUGACUGAGUUCACAGGGCGAUAUGACUAGUUAAGAUCUGAGGCAGAUUUGAAUCCAACCAUGAAUUAUUACGUAAAACCAGAGGAGAGCUACCAGUUAGAGCGCCCAUGUCAUAGUUCUCGACAGUAAGAGCACUGACAUUAGUCUGCAGUGAUCGUGUGUCUACUCAUUGACAAAUUAAUGAGCCUGCACUGUCACCUGGUGGAUUGCAGAUACCGUGCAGGACGCUUGUGAUUGGAUAACGAGGCGCCUCUGUGCCCUUUAAAACCGGAAGGAAGUGGUAAUAUUUUCCGUUCGGGUGAUGGUCGCAACAAGGCGCAAUGUGAAGGCACGGAGAAAAAAAAAAAAAGGUGUAGCAGCAGACCGGUGGACUCCACGACGCCAAGAAGUUCGAAGCAUCUGGUUUCUGUUACGUGAACGACGUCGCCCUGGCCAUUUCUGAGCUUUUCAAAGAACAUCGGGGCUGGAAAGAACAAAUACUACGUAGUGAAUUACCCACGAAGCCAUCUUUAAACCGUUUGAGCCCAAAGAAUAGCAUGUGAGAGGGAGGUCCAGGAAUGCUGCCAACCAAGGGGAAAAGAAGAGAGUUAACCUGUGGAUGAAUGACUAGAGCCAGAACAAGUGAUGUGCAAUGGCGAAGACAGACACAGCAGCUUGGACUCUGCCAGGUAGAGUGAAGGAGCAACUUUAUUGGAAGCAGAUCACUUGUUUGCUGGACUUGUGAGUGUUUUACUGAAUUGUAAUGACUUUACUGUGUAACUUGAUUGCUAUGCUAUUGUUAACAGAUUUUUGACUUGGUGUUUUUUAGUUUAUUUAUUUGUACUUAAUAUUUAGUUAAUUUAACUUAGUUAUGUGGUGCAAUCAUUGUGUAACUUGAUUGCUAUGCAGUUGUCUAACAGAUUUUUUUGACUUGGUAUUUUUUUGUUUUGUUUUUUUGUACUUAGUAUUUAUUUAGCUGUAUUGUUUAAGUUUUAUGUAGUGCAGUCAUUGUGUAACUUGAGCUGUGUUGUAAACCUUCCAAUAAACAUUGUUGGCCCAUUGUGUGCAUUCAUUUCAAGAUAUUGAGCAAAUAUGAAUGGAGUUUCUCAUUGCCUUAGGGCAUGCAUUGUCAAACUCAUUAAUAUUUGCUUAGUAUCUUGAAAUGAAUGCACACAAUGGUCCAACACUGUUUUAUUGGAAGGUUAACAACACAGCUUAAGUUACACAAUGAUUGCACUACAUAACUAACUUGAACAAUAAAGUUAAAGAGAUACUAAGUACAAAAAAUGAACUUAAAAAAUACCAAGUCAAAAAAAUCUGUUAGACAACUGCAUAGCAAUCAAGUUACACAAUGAUUGCACUACAUAACUAAGUUAAAUUAACUAAAUAUUAAGUACAAAUAAAUAAACUAAAAAACACCAAGUCAAAAAUCUGUUAACAAUAGCAUAGCAAUCAAGUUACACAGUAAAGUCAUUACAAUUCAGUAAAACACUCACGUCCAGCAAACAAGUGAUCUGCUUCGAAUAAAGUUGCUCCUUCACUCUACCUGGCAGAGUCCAAGCUGCUGUGUCUGUCUUCUCCAUUGCACAUGUGUUAAUGACAAUGGCAGAGGAGGCACAGAAUAGAACUUUACUCAAUAGCAACACACUUUGCAUUUACAAAACAUGCAUUCAAUCACAAAGUCCAUAGAUACACUUAAAAAAGUCAAAUUACAGCAGCAAUUCUUAGCUUUAACACUUCAGGUAAAGAUGGACAGAUUACAUACUCUAGAACACUACUUCUGUCAACCAUGUGCUCACAGGAUUCAACAAAGGUCCCAUCAUCAGGAGUGGAACAACUUCAUUAAACCUCUUCUUUUGAACUCAAACAAGAUGAAAUAAAGACAUUACGUACAAACGCUCUCAGAUAACUACACCAUGUUCAAAGUGUUUAGCGCUACCAUGUUACAAAACACUUCUAUUAACCACUACUUAGUACUCUAAAGAAUUCCACAUUCAACAAUAGCCACACAAUGAUUGCACUACAUAACUAAGUUAAAACUUAACUUAAUACAUAUAUUAAGUACAAAUAAAUGAACUAAACAACUCUAAGUAAAAA